rnacentral:rRNA from 1 species
AACGAACGCUGGCGGCAGGCCUAACACAUGCGAGUCGAGCGCGCCUUCGGGUGAGCGGCGGCCGGGUGAGUAACGCGUGGGAAUAUGCCCUUCUCUACGGAAUAGUCCUGGGAAACUGGGGGUAAUACCGUAUACGCCCUUUGGGGGAAAGAUUUAUCGGGGAAGGAUUAGCCCGCGUUGGAUUAGGUAGUUGGUGGGGUAAUGGCCUACCAAGCCGACGAUCCAUAGCUGGUUUGAGAGGAUGAUCAGCCACACUGGGACUGAGACACGGCCCAGACUCCUACGGGAGGCAGCAGUGGGGAAUCUUAGACAAUGGGGGCAACCCUGAUCUAGCCAUGCCGCGUGAGUGAUGAAGGCCUUAGGGUUGUAAAGCUCUUUCAGCUGGGAAGAUAAUGACGGUACCAGCAGAAGAAGCCCCGGCUAACUCCGUG